GUCACUUUUUUUUGGCUGUAAAAGCGGCAACAGCGAAAAACAAGUUCGUCUCGCAGGCCGGGCGCUCUCUGCCCUGCUUAGAAGGCUCCAGGGUAACAUUAUCUUCCCUGUUCAAGCUCACCAAAAGUCCAUUACAGUCCAUGAAAGGCAGGCGAGUCAGCGGGCAAGAGGAGGUCUCUGUUACAGGAUCCAUGGCCCAGAGCCAUUUGCUCAAUCGUUAAUAAACUCCGCGCCGAGAGAUCAGGAUACGGACAGGCGCCAGGCCAGGUAGCGAGAGUUGGGAGGGCCUGUUGUCUCAAACCCUGACUGGAAAAUCGCUGGCAGUCUGUGCAGAUCAACAGACAGGAGAGAAGCCAGGGAGAGCAGCUGCAGCUUGAACUUCUUCAUUGACAGGCUGCAGUUCAACAGGUAAAGCGCCAUACAUCACUGCAUU